rnacentral:rRNA from 1 species
GCGCAGUGCAGCGGCAACAGCUCAAAUUUGAAAUCUGGCCGCAAGGUCCGAGUUGUAAUUUGUAGAGGAUGCUUUUGGCGAGGUGCCUUCCGAGUUCCCUGGAACGGGACGCCAUAGAGGGUGAGAGCCCCGUACGGUUGGACCACCGAGCCUCUGUAAAGCUCCUUCGACGAGUCGAGUAGUUUGGGAAUGCUGCUCUAAAUGGGAGGUGUACGUCUUCUAAAGCUAAAUACCGGCCAGAGACCGAUAGCGCACAAGUAGAGUGAUCGAAAGAUGAAAAGCACUUUGAAAAGAGGGUUAAAAAGUACGUGAAAUUGUUGAAAGGGAAGCAUUCAUGACCAGACUUGGGCUUGGUUGAACAUCCGGCGUUCUCGCCGGUGCACUCUGCCAGUCCAGGCCAGCAUCAGUUUGCCCCGGGGGACAAAGGCGGUGGGAAUGUGGCUCCCCUCGGGGAGUGUUAUAGCCCGCCGUGUAAUGCCCUGGGGCGGACUGAGGAACGCGCUUCGGCACGGAUGCUGGCGUAAUGGUCAUCAAUGACCCGUCUUGAAACCACGGA